ensembl:lncRNA
CCGCUCCUCACCUCGGCUGCACCCAGCCCCAAGGAGCUCGGAGGUGCGGAGGAAGCUCUCUUGCUGGCCAGUUUCCGGGAUGCAGCACCCAGAUCUGCAGAAAUGAAAUUUCCCCACGGCUCUCCACACCUCAUCCAGUGUUAAUGAAAUAACGGGGCACACCAGAGCACAGCUGUGAAGCUCACAGCCGUGGAUGGGCUGUCUGUGCUGCAAGCGGAGGCAGUGAAGAAAGGUUGGGGAGCUGCAAAAAAUGUCUGCACAGAUUUGCUCCACUUACUAAAUGUGCAUGCUUUGGGCAUAUCCUGCAUGCCUGGACAGACAGCAUCUGAGUGGCCUGAAUGCACUUAGAAAACCCAAGUCUGCAUCGCUUAUGUGAGUGUAGAUGCAGAGAUGUCUGCGUUACGCUGCUUUGGAGGAGCAACGCGUCCGACUGGAUACGGGAUGUGGCGUGGGCCCAUGUUGUCUGCUGCCUUCCACCAACAAAUAUCUUGGUCUAAAUACAAAGACUUGCAGGACUGAAAGAUUUCUUUCUGUAGAUUUGUCUGAUUUUGUUCCUAAACCAUGCAGCAUUUGCAGCAGCCCAUGGAAGGAGGGUGUCUCCUCAUGCUUACCCCUCAUCUUCCACUCUCUCCCCACUGCCCUGAGCUGUGCAGGUCUCUGCCCUGUGCCCCUGUUUUUCUCUUUUCUAUGCCAAAGAGCCUCAAUCCAUCACACACUCCACAUGCAGAACCUUGGGUCAUCCUGUUGCCCUUGUCUGCACAUUUUCCUGUUUUGCUGUACUCUUGGAAGGGG